rnacentral:rRNA from 1 species
AUGCAAGUCGAACGCGAAAUGCUCCUUCGGGAGCCGAGUAGAGUGGCAGACGGGUGAGUAACGCGUGGGUAACGUGCCCCAGUCCUGGGAAGUGCCGUCGGAAACGAGGGCUAAUACCGAAUGUGGCCCCCGAUCGGAUGAUCGGUGGCUAAAGGUGGCCUCUUCUAUGCUGCCGGGUUGGGAUCGGCCCGCGUCCCAUUAGCUAGUUGGUGAGGUAACGGCCCACCAAGGCAACGAUGGGUAGCCGGCCUGAGAGGGUGUCCGGCCACACUGGCACUGAGAGAAGGGCCAGUCCCCUAUGGGAGGCGCAGGCGGGAAUAGUUCCCAAUGGACGAAAGUCUGAGGACGCGACGCCGCGUGAGCGAAGAAGGCCUUCGGGUUGUAAAGCUCUGUCAGGAGGGAAGAAGGCGCUGGGUGUUAAUAGCACCAAGCGUUGACGGUACUUCCAGAGGAAGCCCCGGCUAAAUACGUGCCAGCAGCCGCGGUAAUACGUAUGGGGCAAGCGUUGUCCGGAUUAACUGGGCGUAAAGGGCACGCAGGCGGUUCGUUUAGUCGAAGGUGAAAUCCCUGGGCUCAACUCAGGAACUGCCUUCGAUACUGGCGAACUAGAGUGGCGUAGAGGAAAGCGGAACUCCUGGUGUAACGGUGGAAUGUGUAGAUAUCAGGAGGAACACCGGUGGCGAAGGCGGCUUUCUGGACGCACACUGACGCUCAGGUGCGAAAGCGUGGGUAGCAAACAGGAUUAGAUACCCUGGUAGUCCACGCCGUAAACGAUGGGUACUAGGUGUCGGGGGUAUCGAUCCCCUCGGUGCCGAAGUCAACGCAUUAAGUACCCCGCCUGGGGAGUAUGGUCGCAAGGCUGAAACUCAAAGGAAUUGACGGGUCCCCGCACAAGCGGUGGAGCAUGUGGUUUAAUUCGACGCAACGCGAAGAACCUUACCUGGGCUUGACAUGCUUGGGACAGCGCUGGAAACAGCGUCUCUCCUUCGGGAGUCCUUGCACAGGUGCUGCAUGGCUGUCGUCAGCUCGUGUCGUGAGAUGUCGGGUUAAGUCCCUCAACGAGCGCAACCCUCGUUACUAGUUGCCAUCAGUUCGGCUGGGCACUCUAGUGAGACUGCCGGUGACAAACCGGAGGAAGGUGAGGAUGAUGUCAAGUCAUCAUGGCCCUUACGCCCAGGGCUACACACGUGCUACAAUGGUCGGCACAAAGGGCAGCCAAACCGCGAGGUGGAGCUAAUCC